UUGAAAGGGAAACGAUUGAAGUCAGUCGUACCUGUGGGUAAUCAGCCUUUUGGGUGUGAUUUUGUGGAGUGUGAGGAGUUAAACGCCUUCAUGCCUGCAUAUUCGUGCACUUUGGGUGUAUUUACCCGUGUGGUAAGUUAACAUCAAUUUCGGUGAUCAUAAAAUGGCUGGAGGAAUGUAGCUUCGAUCUUGUAUUGAAGUGUUAUAGCCUUCGGUAGAUGUGAUGAUCGGGAUUGAGGAUUGCAACGGAUACCUUCGGGGCUACCUGUCUGAUCUCUGAUCGUUGCUCUGGUGCCGAAAGCUUGCUUACGGUUAUCAAAGUCGAUGGUCAAUAGGUUAGAAUGGGUUAAAUCGUUAAGGAUGUUGACGUA
rnacentral:rRNA from 1 species